UUUUCAGCAUAAGUCUGUCUCAUUCAGUAUUUGAGACAUACUUAUGCUAAAC
rnacentral:pre_miRNA from 1 species